rnacentral:misc_RNA from 1 species
GAUGAAGAACGCAGCGAAAUGCGAUAAGUAAUGUGAAUUGCAGAAUUCAGUGAAUCAUCGAAUCUUUGAACGCACAUUGCGCCCCCUGGUAUUCCGGGGGGCAUGCCUGUUCGAGCGUCAUUACAACCCUCAAGCUCUGCUUGGUAUUGGGCCCCGCCAGUUCUGGCGGGCCCUAAAGUCAGUGGCGGUGCCUUCCGGCUCCGAGCGUAGUAAUUCUUCUCGCUCUGGAGACCCGGUUGUGUGCUUGCCAACAACCCCCAAUUUUUUAAGGUUGAUCUCGGAUCAGGUAGGGAUACCCGCUGAACUUAAGCAUAUCAAUAAGCGGAGGA